UUUAAGGUCAUAUAUCUUCUUUUCAAUAUUUGAGCGUAUGACAUAGUAUUUUCUAAAUUGAUUUUUACUGUAUUACUGAUGUAAUACCCAACAACAUAGAUAACUCUUCAUGAAUUCGUCACAACAGUAUAGAUUUUACUUAAACAUAUUUUUAUCCAACAUGUAGAGCAGAAUAAGCAUUUAUAGAUGUAGCAAGCUAUCAUAGCUCAAGCUACAAUUAUUUUUUAUUUAUAAGUGAAUAUAAAGAAACAUAUUUCCAAAUAUUUAAAUUAUCUGUUUUAUUGCUUUUUUUAGUGCAGUUACAGCAAGUGGGUCUUUGACAAGCAGAUGUAUAUACCGGGUGGUGCGUCGCCGAGCGGAACAUAGGAAAACCCAUGUGAAUUUUAAGGGGGUCAAUUAUUGGCUUCCCUGUACAUUUUAUACAAAAAAUGUAAGAUAACUUUUUGAAGAGACCAAUCUGGCAAACCCUUAUCUUAAGUCAUCAACAAAAAGGAAACUUUCUCGUGUUUUACCACCCUUGGAUGGCUAUCAAUAGGAAUUCAAAAGAGCAACGGCCUCAAAUUACUGCCCUGUGGCACAGCAGAAACUGCAGAAAAACCCUCAGAGAUUGAUUUUGCAACUUUAAAAAUCUGUUGUAGACAGGUCAGAUCCCGCACGGAAAAUCCCGCAAUGUUGAUCCCGCAGAAACUUGGAGGGAUCCCGCAAUUGCGGGAUUGGAUUCCCUAGAUGGGAUGUACUAUGUACCGGGCGGCCACUUAAACGAGGUAAGCGCCUGUAUCUCAGAAACUAAUAAUCGUAGAACCUUCAUUGGCCGGCUACUAGGGGGCGUUACAGCUACUUCAAAAUUUAAAAUUAAAUUUUUUCAAAAACCUUGCAAUAACGGGCAUCUUAAAAUAUUAUUGUAAUAAUCUUCAAACAUUUCCACACAAAAAAGUUUUAACAAAUACUUGUAAAGUGUUAAGAAGAGUUUUUAGCUUGAGUGAGAAAAACAGCUGAAAACUGGCUCUGAGUGGGCCGAUCCUUCUAAAAUAAGUUUUGGUUAAAAGUCUCUCUACUGCUUUAUUUUUAUAUCAAUAAAAUAUUACUGUUAGCUUUCGCCAAAAUCCGAUAGGGGCAUUGACUUGGGGAUUUACGUUAUUCAACAAGUUAACGAUACAUAUUUUUUAUGCUAUUAAAAGCAGGGAACAAAGCUGAACAGAUUGGUAAAAACCGCAUUCAGAUAUAACUACUCAAACUAAAGUUAUUAAAAAAAAUGUAACCAUUAAAAAAUUAAAAUUACAAAAAUCGUCGUAAAUUCCUAUUGCAUUAGUCGAAUUGAGAAAACUUGUGUUUAAAUGAAUGUUCGUUUAAACAAAGAAACUUAGUAUAAGUAGUUUUUCGAAAAUCCAUGAGGAGGCGUUCUUUCAUAUAAUACAUUUAUAUUAAUAGAUUAUUUCGCACCGCUUUUUUUAAAAAUUGCUCUAGUGUCGUCCUAA